AAAAAGAUAAGCUAAAUUUAAGCUAAUGGGUUCAUACCUCAUUUAUAAAGGCCCCCCCUUUUCUUUUUA
rnacentral:tRNA from 1 species